UACGUAGGGACCAAGCGUUGUUCGGAUUUACUGGGCGUAAAGGGCGCGUAGGCGGCGUGGUAAGUCACUUGUGAAAUCUCUGAGCUUAACUCAGAACGGCCAAGUGAUACUGCUGUGCUAGAGUGCAGAAGGGGCAAUCGGAAUUCUUGGUGUAGCGGUGAAAUUCGUAGAUAUCGGGAGGAACACCAGUGGCGAAGGCGGCGAUCUGGGUCGAUACUGACGCUGAGGUGCGAAAGCGUGGGGAGCAAACAGG
rnacentral:rRNA from 1 species